rnacentral:tRNA from 1 species
AAGUAGAAAGCGAAGAAUUGCGCUCUGUUUCGACCAGAAUUUUGGUAAAUUUAUUACCUCUACUUG